UAGGUGUCAGCAUCUUUCAUUCUACUUGCAGACACAGUAACUUAGACUAAGAGAUCUGGCCAAGAUCAUCAAGCAAGUCACAGUGUGAGGAAACCCACAGGAAAAUGAGAACACCACUGAGAAAGUGACUACAAAAUGCUGCUACAAGGCUGUGGAAAACAAUUCCUGUUGGCUACAUCAAAGUGUAGUGGCAGAUUUCCCUUUGGACGUCAGAGCCUGUUUCAAACGUCUCUUUAAAUCCUGCAUGUUUGGAGACUUGGGCCGGACGAGGUGGAGGCCUCGGCGUUUCUCACCAUUGCAGCUCCCGAUCAUCCUGCUGACCUCCUGGCAGAGCUGCUGGAAGGCUUCAUGCACUCCCUCACAGUUCUCCCGAGCUGACACUUCAUAGUAACUACCUCCCAGUUCACUGGCCAGUUGGAGUCCCUCUUUGGAGGCCACCUGCCUGGCUCGCAGAAGGUCUCCUUUGUUUGCCAUCAGCAGCAGGGGGAUGUUGGCAUUGGGGUGAAUCUUGCGGAUGUGCUGGUGCAGGGGCCGGAUGACUCGGUAGCUCUCGUAGUCUGUGAUGGAGUAAACAAAAACGAAGCCAUCUGCCCAGUAGAUCGAACGGUUUAUCUGCUCUUGGCAGCAUAUGCUGUCAGUGUCAUCCUGCCACCAAAACCAAGAGGUGUGAGAUUAGAAAACUGAGAAUAGGGAGCAGACAGAGCACACAGUCAUACAGCACUAUUAGCUCCUCGGAGCUUUGUUUUAAAGUGAAGCCGUUUCCCAGUGUACAGACAGAAAGCUCUCUGACUGCCAGGGAAUGCACCAGGGACAGGAGAAACUUCCACUGUGUCAGUAACACGUUACAGGUAAGCAGUACUGUGGAAGUGAAGUGGGGAGGGGUCAGAGCGAAUUGGUUGAAAAUAGGAGAGCAGCCAAAGUACAGAUCUUGAAAAGCUUGUUCUGUGUUCUGUCAUACUAAACCAGUGUGACAGGAGCCUGUGCUUUUCUUGGGGAUAGAAUUAUGGUGGGCAUGGUAAGAGCAUUAUAAAAUUCAGCAGGUUAGUCACACUACUGCAAGUGCAUGGGUUUCCCCCAAAGUAUCUUUUUAGAGCUUUCUCCAAUUCUCUAUUCAAUGUCUCCAUGGAUGGGGGUUCUCACUAUGAUGAAGCCUGACAGGUUUUUCUACUGUGUGACAGUUUUCUACUGUCUCCACAUAGUCAAGGGUAAAGUUACUUUGAAAAAGCAAUUUGCUACAAACAACUAAUUACUGGAACUGAAAUGAGGUGAAAUUUCACUGCUCAUUUGUAGAGCAGCAAUGUGUUUGUAAUAUUGUUUUGCUGUUCACACCAUCACCACUCCUACUCAGCCAACCAUAACAAGCACCAGCCUUGGGAAUAUAAAACUGAAUACAACACGGUGGGGCUUGAAAAAGGAUCAGCUUGCUUUUCAAGUUGAAGCUAUUUUCAGCUAAUCCUCUACUCUUUGUUAUCCAUGCUGGUGUGUAACCCAACCAGAUAGGGAGAUCCCUGCUGCAGUUAUUGUGGGUAUGUUUGGUUUGUAAGAACUGACGUUCCUGUCUCUAUUACAGCCUUUCUGACACUUUGUAAUUUCUUUCCUCUCCAACGAGGCACUAAGUGCAUUCAGUAUUCAGCUCUUGAUGAAGUUGACAGGAAUUAGAGGCUUUAGGGGGAGUUCAACAUCAUGAAUAUGGAGCCCAAACUUUUAUUACUAUUGCUAAAUUCUAUUCAAGAAAAAAAUCAACUUCAAUAAGACUACUAGAGCAUAUGUUCCAUUAUUUAUUUAUGUAUAGAGUGUAUACCUACCAUUCACAUUCAUGUUAAUAGAAUUUGCAUGUGCUCAGCAAUCUCCCCAAACUGAUUACAUCUACUUAGACACCUAAAUCUGAAUUACAAAGCCUAACUUCAGGAAAAGAAUGAAUAAAACCAAUCAGUUCUGUUAUGGUAGAUCAGACAGUAAAAAACAAAGGACUACCAACAAGGCCCUUCUGUGAGAGGAAGGCAGCAGAAUUUCUGAAGGCUCAGAGUAUAAAACUACACUUAAAAUUUGACAGGGAGUUUUGAAAACUAACUGUCCUUUGUACAUAUUCAAUAUUGCCAAUGGAGACACUGUCUCUUCAUACCUAGUAGUUCUUUGCCCAUGCCAGUUCACAGUAAUGCUAAAUCCUGUUAACAGUAACAUUGCUUAACAGAUGUUCCUAUUACACCUCUCUCUGCCCAAACCCAAAACCCCAGCAGAGUUAUACAUGGAAUAAAGAAGGAUCCUUCCUAGCAGCUUUGUUUAAAAGGUUAAUGAGUAUGAACUCCGAGCCAGGACGGGGCAGACUGUGGGAAGAAGGGCAAUUUGCACUGUUGGUGUCUGGGUUGUAGCCAGUGUGUAGAUAAUUAGCCACCCCUCAUGUCCUGCUAGCCUCAUUUCACCACAAAACUCCUUUUUAUGGGGAAAAAGAACUAAUUGCUCUGGCAAGCUUGGAAAAUGUUUUGGAGGAAGAUGAACAUUCAGAGACCCCUAAUGAGGAGAAAUUCUCAGUUACUUCAGCUAGGCCCACCCAGCAGUGAGAAGGAUGGAUAAUCCCUAACGGAAUGCUUUAUUCAGGAAAAUCAAAGGCUAAUGGGCUACUUUUAAAAUGGAAAUCUCUGCUCCAGAGUGAAUUUUGAAACACUGGUUCAUUGGCAUGUAUAGACCAAGCAGCAAUCAAUCACUUAACAAAACCAGUUAUCUGUUUGCUUCUGUUUCUCUCCUAAACAUUAACAUUUCCGGUGUGGCCAGAAUCCUGAGUGAUUUCACAUGACUUCCUCUCAAAGCACUGCACUCAGCCUGCAGAGUGCAAGCAACUCUCCUCCUUAAGGAUUUUAACAAGAAAAUCCAACUUAUUCUCAGUCUUAAUAAGUCCUGUUCAGGAACAGUCCCUUCAAAUUAUUUCAGAUACAUCAUUUGAUGCAAGCAGAGGCACAGGCAACGACAUGUGUCUGUGGGAACUGCUGAAACAGUGCAGACCUUUCACUGGGACAGAGAAAGUGAAACUCUUUCCUAACUAAAUUAAAAUCAUAUCUGACUAAGAAACCUCAGCUGUUGGUAUAACUAAACUUUGUGGAGCUCUGGCUGCAGUCACAGAACUAUAGGACACAGGUUUGAUUAAAACAGGAACAUCAGAAAAUAAUCAUGUAUCUGUAUGUAUCAAACUAUUUCACUCCCUCCUUUCUCCAUGAGACAGAAUGGAUAAGGGAUUCCCUUUGUUAAGUGUUUAGCAGGCAGUCCCAAUUGUGCUUAAUCACCCACCACACACAGCUUCUCUUUGCAGGUCCUCUCCCAGCAAGCUGGCAUAGGGCCUUUGUACUGUUAAGUCCCACUUGAAUAUUUGGAGGACUUCCAUAGCAGCUUUUAUUUGCUUUUUAGUGUCCAGAGUAAAUGGGGGGUCCUCUCCUCUGCUCUGUGCAUCCCCAGCAGCAGCAGCGUGUACAAAUUUGUCAAAGCUUUCCACUUAAUUUUAUUUCCAGUCAUCAAAGAAAGUGGAAACAGAGGCUGUGGGAGCUUUGCUGAUCCUGUUUUGUAAACUCAGGGUGGAGCAGCUCUACAGCACAGAAAUGAACUCAUGCACACAUGGGUCCCAGCAAAGCAAGGUACAUAAAGCUUUCCAGGGUUAGCCUGAAAGGGGAUGAGAGUAAGUGGUGUUCCCAUCCAGACAUAUUCUUGGCCAAGUCUGAGCUUAGACUGAGGUUAAGGCAAAACCAAGACGUUUAAGUUUGAUGGUGACAAGAAGAAACCUAAUUUCAUCAUGAAAUAGUCUAUAGGAAUUAUUACUUUCAUGAUGUCUCCACUCUUCAUGUAAAACCAAUUUUAAUCCCAUUUCCUGCUGCUUUGGCAUUAUUUUCAUCCUCUUGUUCUGCAUGUGAAAUAGAUCUUCAAAAGAAGUCAUCUUAAUCCUAGAUCCUGCUUGGAAAAAAUAUUUCUAGGAACAGGUUUCUAUUUAAAUAUUAAAUCUAGAAUAUGUAAAAUACUGUUAGAAAGAGAAAUGUAGACAAAUGCCAACACCUUAAAAAUAAUGAAUAAGGAAAUAAUAAUAAUAAGAAAAAAAACAACUAAGAAAACCUCUGCAAAGCACUUUCGUUGGAAAUGACAACUGCUGUGAGGCCUGUCCCCUUGGAAAGAAACACCUUUCUAGAGGAGAGAUUCUGAGCUGGUAGAAAGGUCAUGGCUGAGCCAGCUCUAGGCAGGUGAGUUUUCUUCCAUGCAGGGACAGAAACCACAUGGCAAGAGACAAAACAAUCAGGAAGUUGGCAGAAGCAAGACAGAUUAUGAUUUUACUGCUGUUUAGGCUUCAGAUUAAGUAAUGUGUUUGAAAUAGAUUUGGUUUAAUUUUGACUUAAACCUCUUCAAGGGCUUGUUUUGGUGGGGCUUAAGGUAACCCUAUUUGUCUUCAUUUGGCUUUGAGCCCAGCUAUUUUUCUGCUGAUAAGUGGAAUUACUUACAGACGGAAGCGCUGGCAACAAACAAGAGACAACAACUGUGUUGUAAAGUACCAAUGUACUGAGCAGCUGUUUUACCUCCAAUGAAACAAAGGGAGUAUCCUGCACCUGUAGAGAGAUCUGUUCCCCAUCUAUGGUGAACUUUCUUGAGUACAAAGCACCUGGCAGAAAAAUAAGAUCAUUAGAGUCAGGGACUGUAACAAAGAAAACAAGAGUACAGAAAAGCAGAAUGGAACUGUUAAAAUCUAGAUUUUUUAGGUUUAUGGUAUGUAGCUGCUUAUAGAAAAGUGAAUGGCCCCAGAGUGGUUGGGUGGCUGUGUGCUGAAGUCAAGUGGGUUUGUAUUUGCUACGUGGUCAGAUGUUUUGAAAGCCCACCUAGGGGGGUAUGUGUGUAAGGGGGCACUUUGUAUGGAAUCAAAUAGUCAAAGUGGGCACAUAAAUCCCACUCAGGUUUUCUAUCUAUGCUGUUAACUUUUUUAAAAGUGGACUACGUGUAUUUUCAGACUCAAACCAAGACAUCUAGGUGCUGUCUGUGAGAGUGAGCUGUUUCCUAUUGCAUUUUGGGGUAAGUUUUUUGAAAAGGAAAGUAUUCUAGUUUUGGACACAGACUAAAUGACUAUAUGCAUAACCCAGGUGCUCUUUGGGAUUUGUGUGACCUUAGCAGUCAGAGUUUGGUUGGAAUUAGACUCUCAACUGAUUUCUGCUUAAUCAAAAUGACACAUAUUCAGGGCCAAGUGCUACUUCAAACCAUCUAGGACUAAUCCAGCUCUAAUAAAACCAUCACUGUUCUGAGGCUUGAACUUUAUUUUGUUA